rnacentral:rRNA from 1 species
ACGGAAGGCAGCAGUAAGGGAUAUUGGGCAAUGGGGGGAACCCUGACCCAGCCAUGCCGCGUGAGGGAAUGAGGCCCUACGGGUCGUGAACCUCUUUUGUCCGGGGAUAACCUCCCCCGCGGGACGGGGGACUGCAGGUACCGGGCGAAUAAGCAUCGGCUAACUCCGUGCCAGCAGCCGCGGUAAUACGGAGGAUGCGAGCGUUAUCCGGAUUCAUUGGGUUUAAAGGGUGCGCAGGCGGCGUGUUAAGUCAGCGGUGAAAGUCAGGGGCCCAACCCCGGAAGUGCCGUUGAUACUGGCGCGCUGGAAUGCGGUCGAGGCGGGCGGAAUGUGGCGUGUAGCGGUGAAAUGCAUAGAUAUGCCACAGAACUCCGAUAGCGAAGGCAGCCCGCCAGGCCUGCAUUGACGCUCAGGCACGAAAGCGUGGGGAUCGAACAGGAUUAGAUACCCUGGUA